rnacentral:rRNA from 1 species
UACGUAGGGUGCAAGCGUUAAUCGGAAUUACUGGGCGUAAAGCGUGCGCUAGGCGGUUAUGUAAGACAGUUGUGAAAUCCCCAGGCUCAACCUGGGAACUGCAUCCGAUACUGGAUGGCUUGAAUUCGGGAGAGGGAUGCAGAAUUCCAGGUGUAGCGGUGAAAUGCGUAGAUAUCUGGAGGAAUACCGGUGGCGAAGGCGGCAGUCCUGGACCGACAUUGACGCUGAGGAGCGAAAGCCAGGGGAGCAAACGGG